rnacentral:lncRNA from 1 species
UGAACAAACCUCUCAGUUUGAAGGAAAAACUCACAAGCUCUUAUUACUCAAACUGAUUACAAAUAGAUCACACUUUACAGAGGAGAUCACAAGCAUUACAAAGAAACAAGAAUUACUGAAUUUGGUCGGAGAAAUGAACAAGAAAAUCCUCACACACCACGUGCUGUUAACAGCCACAUCAGCAAAGUAUUUGCAAGUUGACCCCUAAAUUGAAGUUAAUCUUCACUAAGUCCUAAAGACUCUCUCAAUUGCACUUAGGUCCCCAAAACAGAAUUCAAUUCUUCACGCACUCCACCUUGCAGAUCUGAUUGCACUUAGGUGCCAAAAACAUAAUUCAAUUCUUCAUGCUCUCCACCUUUGCAGAUCUGAUUCCGUUUGACUUUGCAAUAAAGCAACAUCUAAAAAGCAUAGCAGAACAGGAACAGCAGUUACUCCCUCUUCCUCAAUCUCUUUUCAAGAAACACUCUUCCAGUUAUGUGAGUUUGGGUAAUGCGUUGCUUCGACUCAGUAGAGAGUUACUACUUGCAUGAGAAAUUACAUGCCGAAAAAUUAAAAUAAAAUGAAAAGGAACCGGGUGUUAGUUUUGUAAAAAGAAAGGAACUGGGCGUUUACUUAGC